rnacentral:rRNA from 1 species
GUCCCGCCUGCCCUGUGACUAUAUGUUUAACGGCCGCGGUAUUUUGACCGUGCAAAGGUAGCGCAAUCACUUGUCUUUUAAAUGAAGACCCGUAUGAAUGGCUCAACGAGGGCUUAACUGUCUCUUUUCUCCAGUCAAUGAAAUUGAUCUCCCCGUGCAGAAGCGGGGAUAUUCUCAUAAGACGAGAAGACCCUAUGGAGCUUUAGACACAAAGCGAACCAAACUGCCCACCCCCAAGAAUUAAAAGGGGGACAAUAAAAUGGAGGCCCGCUCAAUGUCUUUGGUUGGGGCGACCCUGGGGAAAAACAAAACCCCCACGCGGAACAGAAGGACUCCUUCCACAACCAAGAGCCCCCUCUCUAAGUAACAGAACCUCUGACCAUCAAUGAUCCGGCAAGCUGAUCAACGGACCGAGUUACCCUAGGGAUAACAGCGCAAUCCCCUCCCAGAGCCCAUAUCGACAAGGGGGUUUACGACCUCGAUGUUGGAUCAGGAUAUCCUAAUGGUGUAGCCGCUAUUAA